rnacentral:rRNA from 1 species
AAACUAACAAGGAUUCCCCUAGUAACGGCGAGUGAAGAGGGAAGAGCCCAAGAUUGAAAGCUGGCGUCUUCGGCGUCCGCAUUGUAAUCUCAAGAAGUGUUUUCCGUUUCGGACCAUGCCUAAGUCUCUUGGAAAAGAGCAUCAUAGAGGGUGAUAAUCCCGUACAUGGCAUGGAGCGCCCGAGACUUUGUGAUACGCUUUCUAAGAGUCGAGUUGUUUGGGAAUGCAGCUCAAAAUGGGUGGUAAAUGCCAUCUAAGGCUAAAUAUUGGGGAGAGACCGAUAGCGAACAAGUACAGUGAUGGAAAGAUGAAAAGAACUUUGAAAAGAGAGUUAAACAGUACGUGAAAUUGCCAAAAGGGAAGGGUAGGAGGUCAGAGAUGCGUUCUGGGAUUCAGCCUUGCUUUUGCUUGGUGUUUUUCCCAGAUUGCAGGCCAACGUCGGUUUUGGGCGCUGGAGAAGGGUGGAAGGAAUGUGGCACCUCUCGGGGUGUGUUAUAGCCUUCUACUGGAUACAGUGACCGAGACCGAGGACAGCAGCGUACUCGCAAGAGCGGGCCUUCGGGCACCUUAC